rnacentral:rRNA from 1 species
UACGUAGGGGGCAAGCGUUGUCCGGAUUUAUUGGGCGUAAAGAGCGUGUAGGCGGCUUGGUAGGUCCGCUGUGAAAACUCGAGGCUCAACCUCGAGAUGUCGGCGGAAACCACUUGGCUAGAGUCCGGAAGAGGAGAGUGGAAUUCCUGGUGUAGCGGUGAAAUGCGCAGAUAUCAGGAAGAACACCUAUGGCGAAGGCAGCUCGCUGGGACGUUACUGACGCUGAGACGCGAAAGCGUGGGGAGCAAACAGG